GGGUUGUGAGGUUAAGCGACUAAGCGUACACGGUGGAUGCCCUGGCAGUCAGAGGCGAUGAAGGACGUGCUAAUCUGCGAUAAGCGUCGGUAAGGUGAUAUGAACCGUUAUAACCGGCGAUUUCCGAAUGGGGAAACCCAGUGUGAUUCGUCACACUAUCAUUAACUGAAUCCAUAGGUUAAUGAGGCGAACCGGGGGAACUGAAACAUCUAAGUACCCCGAGGAAAAGAAAUCAACCGAGAUUCCCCCAGUAGCGGCGAGCGAACGGGGAGCAGCCCAGAGCCUGAAUCAGUGUGUGUGUUAGUGGAAGCGUCUGGAAAGGCGCGCGAUACAGGGUGACAGCCCCGUACACAAAAAUGCACAUGCUGUGAGCUCGAUGAGUAGGGCGGGACACGUGGUAUCCUGUCUGAAUAUGGGGGGACCAUCCUCCAAGGCUAAAUACUCCUGACUGACCGAUAGUGAACCAGUACCGUGAGGGAAAGGCGAAAAGAACCCCGGCGAGGGGAGUGAAAAAGAACCUGAAACCGUGUACGUACAAGCAGUGGGAGCACGCUUCGGCGUGUGACUGCGUACCUUUUGUAUAAUGGGUCAGCGACUUAUAUUCUGUAGCAAGGUUAACCGAAUAGGGGAGCCGAAGGGAAACCGAGUCUUAACUGGGCGUUAAGUUGCAGGGUAUAGACCCGAAACCCGGUGAUCUAGCCAUGGGCAGGUUGAAGGUUGGGUAACACUAACUGGAGGACCGAACCGACUAAUGUUGAAAAAUUAGCGGAUGACUUGUGGCUGGGGGUGAAAGGCCAAUCAAACCGGGAGAUAGCUGGUUCUCCCCGAAAGCUAUUUAGGUAGCGCCUCGUGAAUUCAUCUCCGGGGGUAGAGCACUGUUUCGGCAAGGGGGUCAUCCCGACUUACCAACCCGAUGCAAACUGCGAAUACCGGAGAAUGUUAUCACGGGAGACACACGGCGGGUGCUAACGUCCGUCGUGAAGAGGGAAACAACCCAGACCGCCAGCUAAGGUCCCAAAGUCAUGGUUAAGUGGGAAACGAUGUGGGAAGGCCCAGACAGCCAGGAUGUUGGCUUAGAAGCAGCCAUCAUUUAAAGAAAGCGUAAUAGCUCACUGGUCGAGUCGGCCUGCGCGGAAGAUGUAACGGGGCUAAACCAUGCACCGAAGCUGCGGCAGCGACGCUUAUGCGUUGUUGGGUAGGGGAGCGUUCUGUAAGCCUGUGAAGGUGUGCUGUGAGGCAUGCUGGAGGUAUCAGAAGUGCGAAUGCUGACAUAAGUAACGAUAAAGCGGGUGAAAAGCCCGCUCGCCGGAAGACCAAGGGUUCCUGUCCAACGUUAAUCGGGGCAGGGUGAGUCGACCCCUAAGGCGAGGCCGAAAGGCGUAGUCGAUGGGAAACAGGUUAAUAUUCCUGUACUUGGUGUUACUGCGAAGGGGGGACGGAGAAGGCUAUGUUGGCCGGGCGACGGUUGUCCCGGUUUAAGCGUGUAGGCUGGUUUUCCAGGCAAAUCCGGAAAAUCAAGGCUGAGGCGUGAUGACGAGGCACUACGGUGCUGAAGCAACAAAUGCCCUGCUUCCAGGAAAAGCCUCUAAGCAUCAGGUAACAUCAAAUCGUACCCCAAACCGACACAGGUGGUCAGGUAGAGAAUACCAAGGCGCUUGAGAGAACUCGGGUGAAGGAACUAGGCAAAAUGGUGCCGUAACUUCGGGAGAAGGCACGCUGAUAUGUAGGUGAAGUCCCUCGCGGAUGGAGCUGAAAUCAGUCGAAGAUACCAGCUGGCUGCAACUGUUUAUUAAAAACACAGCACUGUGCAAACACGAAAGUGGACGUAUACGGUGUGACGCCUGCCCGGUGCCGGAAGGUUAAUUGAUGGGGUCAGCGCAAGCGAAGCUCUUGAUCGAAGCCCCGGUAAACGGCGGCCGUAACUAUAACGGUCCUAAGGUAGCGAAAUUCCUUGUCGGGUAAGUUCCGACCUGCACGAAUGGCGUAAUGAUGGCCAGGCUGUCUCCACCCGAGACUCAGUGAAAUUGAACUCGCUGUGAAGAUGCAGUGUACCCGCGGCAAGACGGAAAGACCCCGUGAACCUUUACUAUAGCUUGACACUGAACAUUGAGCCUUGAUGUGUAGGAUAGGUGGGAGGCUUUGAAGUGUGGACGCCAGUCUGCAUGGAGCCGACCUUGAAAUACCACCCUUUAAUGUUUGAUGUUCUAACGUGGACCCGUGAUCCGGGUUGCGGACAGUGUCUGGUGGGUAGUUUGACUGGGGCGGUCUCCUCCUAAAGAGUAACGGAGGAGCACGAAGGUUGGCUAAUCCUGGUCGGACAUCAGGAGGUUAGUGCAAUGGCAUAAGCCAGCUUGACUGCGAGCGUGACGGCGCGAGCAGGUGCGAAAGCAGGUCAUAGUGAUCCGGUGGUUCUGAAUGGAAGGGCCAUCGCUCAACGGAUAAAAGGUACUCCGGGGAUAACAGGCUGAUACCGCCCAAGAGUUCAUAUCGACGGCGGUGUUUGGCACCUCGAUGUCGGCUCAUCACAUCCUGGGGCUGAAGUAGGUCCCAAGGGUAUGGCUGUUCGCCAUUUAAAGUGGUACGCGAGCUGGGUUUAGAACGUCGUGAGACAGUUCGGUCCCUAUCUGCCGUGGGCGCUGGAGAACUGAGGGGGGCUGCUCCUAGUACGAGAGGACCGGAGUGGACGCAUCACUGGUGUUCGGGUUGUCAUGCCAAUGGCACUGCCCGGUAGCUAAAUGCGGAAGAGAUAAGUGCUGAAAGCAUCUAAGCACGAAACUUGCCCCGAGAUGAGUUCUCCCUGACUCCUUGAGAGUCCUGAAGGAACGUUGAAGACGACGACGUUGAUAGGCCGGGUGUGUAAGCGCAGCGAUGCGUUGAGCUAACCGGUACUAAUGAACCGUGAGGCUUAACCUUACAACGCCGAAG
rnacentral:rRNA from 1 species